GCGGCGGGCCGUGACUGGCGCUUGGGUGGAGUACCACCGGGGAGCGGCUCGGCCACUUCUGGCCAGUGCCGCGCGCCUGGGCGAUCCGA
rfam:Streptomyces decoyicus strain NRRL 2666 P029contig2.1, whole genome shotgun sequence.